rnacentral:rRNA from 1 species
CUUCUCUUCAAAACAUAGCUUGAAGUUUUAUUUUAGGUAAAUUCUGCCCAGCGUAAAUAUUAGCGGCCGCAGUACCUUGACUGUGCUAAGGUAGCAUAAUCAAUUGGCUUUUAAUUGAAGUCUGGAAUGAACGGAUUAAUGGGGACUUGCUGUCUCUAAAUAAUUUAUUUGAAAUUAUUUAUUAAGUGAAAAUACUUAUAAAUAGAAAAAAGACGAGAAGACCCUUAGAAUUUUUAAUAAAAUAUAAUUAAUAUUAUUUUUUUGUUGGGGCGACAGUGAAACAUUUAAACUUUUAUUAUUUCAUGACAUUAAGAUUUGAAAGAAUAAAUUACCUUAGGGAUAACAGCAUAAUUAAUAAUUUAGUUUGUGACCUCGAUGUUGGACUAGGAACUAGUUGACUAACAGUCGAAAUAGAUUGUUCUGU